UACGGGGGGAGCAAGCGUUGUUCGGAUUUACUGGGCGUAAAGGGCGCGUAGGCGGCCACCGCAAGUCGGUUGUGAAAUCUCUGGGCUUAACCCAGAAAGGUCAACCGAUACUGCGGGGCUAGAGUGCAGAAGGGGCAACUGGAAUUCUCGGUGUAGCGGUGAAAUGUCGUAGAUAUCGAGAGGAACACCUGCGGCGAAGGCGGUUGCUGGGCUGACACUGACGCUGAAGCGCGAAAGCUAGGGGAGCGAACGGG
rnacentral:rRNA from 1 species